AAAACAGGCUGACCUCAGUCCCCUAAAUUGUUCCCCUGGUCUUUCUUCCACAGUGCUUGGUAAUCCUUCAUAGCCGACUCCUUUGUUCUUUGCAUCUGGACAGGGCUUCACUUUGUGAGAGUCUCCUAUUUCGAAAUAAGGAGACAGGGUAAAUCCUCCAGUCUUACCAGCUCUCCUGAGGCAGCUCUGGAGUUUCUGGAGACAUCACGUUCCCUGCUUAUUCCUGGAGAAACCUCAAUUCCAGUGUUCAGAGAGGACCUGAGCUUCAGAGAUUCAAGCUGGAAAACGGCUUCGUUCCCUGCUGCCUGGCACGACCUCAGGGGAUAUUUCUAGGAUCUACCUUCCAUGAAGAACACAGACUUACCCCAAUCUCAUGUGGUCUAAAGAUGAAACUUUCCGGGCCUGGGGAUGUGGCUCAAGCGGUAGCGCGCUCGCCUGGCAUGUGUGCGGCCAGGGUUCGAUCCUCAGCACCACAUACAAAAACAAAGAUGUUGUGUCUGCAGAGAACUAAAAAAU
rnacentral:lncRNA from 1 species